rnacentral:rRNA from 1 species
AGAAUCAACGCUGGCGGCGUGCCUAACACAUGCAAGUCGCACGAGAAAGGGGCUUCGGCUCUGAGUAAAGUGGCGCACGGGUGAGUAACACGUGAAUAAUCUACCUCCGAGUGGGGAAUAACUGAGAGAAAUCUUAGCUAAUACCGCAUAACACUUACGAGUCAAAGCAGCAAUGCGCUUGGAGAGGAGUUCGCGGCCGAUUAGUUAGUUGGCGGGGUAAUGGCCCACCAAGACGAUGAUCGGUAUCC